AUUGCACUAGUUUAUUCCCAAAGAGUAUAUUCUGUCAUGAGCUGUGCCCUGCAGUACCUCUGUUGGCGCUCGGGUGGCACUUUGCGCCUCUCUCGCUCUCUCUCUCGCUCCCUUCCUCUCUCUCUUCGCAGUAAUCACCACCUCCUCGGCGGUGCACCUGUCACCAAUCAGCCUUCAUUACCAACUGCAUUAAAGCCUGCCAGAUCCCGGAAAUCCUCGCCAGAGUAUGAGCGUUUCUCCUGCGUGCUCCCUCCAUGUUCCUGCCCCACGUUUCCCGCCUCGAUGACCUGCCAACACCCCCCAAGGAUCCAUCCUCAUAUCCGCUUCAAUAAACCUUUCACCACAACCCUUUCAGCCUCCACUUGCUUCUGGGUCCCAUUAACAUCAGCUCGUGACAGAAUACUCUGGCCCAGCAACCCCAGAGGCGCUACAACAUGCCCUCACCCUCCAAGGCGCCAACAUAGAGAGACAGGACAAGGCUCUACAAGAGAUCAUGGCAUCCUUACAUUCCCUCACACAACACGUCUCCCUCCUUACCACCAAAAUUUAAUCCGACCAUCCUCCCGUAAGUAAUCCUUCUGAGCCCGCAGCCAUCCCGCUCCCCGUACAAAGAACCUCACGUCCCUCCGCCCGAGCCCUACUCUGGGGACUCAGAUGCUUACAGCCAAUUUAUCCCAAAUUGCUCCCUAGUUUUCAACCUACAACCGUUAAGUUAUCCCACUGAACAAUCCAAGGUCGCGUUUGUCACUAACCUGCUCCGUGGCAAAGCAGCUAAAUGGGCAAACGCGUUAUGGCACAACUCCUCCCCGGUACUCCAGUCAUUUGAUUCCUUUUCCGCCGAACUCAAGAAGGUAUUUGAUCACCCCGUUCAGGGCAGAGAAGCCACCUGCCGCCUCCUUGUAUUUUUUUUAACGGUCUGUCUGAGCAGCUGAAGGACAAGCUCGCUGCUAGAGAUGAGCCCUCCUCUCUCGAAGAUCUUAUUUCACUUUCCAUCCGUCUUGACAACUGGCGACGGGAGAGAGCGCGAGAGAGGGGGGUUAGAGCACGCAAGAUCACUUCCACCGUGGGCACGGCACCGUCAGCGUCUCACCUGCCUUCUGCACUUCCAACUGCCCCUUCAUCACCCCCCACUGUACCAGAUGAGCCCAUGCAACUAGGUAACACACGACUAGACCCUCAGGAACGUCAGCGGCACGUCACCCAGCGGCUGUGUAUUUAUUGCAGAAAAUCUGGCCGUGGUAAGCCAAACUACCACUUCCUCAAGUUCUUCUUCCCGUAUGAACGUUCCCGCUUGCAUUCUUGGUCCCACUCACAAUACACCCGUAGUUUCCCUCAUUGAUUCUGGUGCAGACGACAAUUUCAUUCAUGGAGGCACUGGCUGGAGGGGACUGAAGAACCAUUUGUCAUCUGCAUCGAUCACAAGAAACCUUGCUUACCUCUGUUCCGCCAAACGCCUUAACCCCCGACAAGCUCGCUGGGCCCUUUUCUGGAGCCAAUUGAAUUUUAACCUCUCCUUCCGACCUGGAUCCCGGAACGGCAAACCUGACGCCCUGUCUCACAUAUACUCACCCCCCUCCAGCCCUGCAGAACAAUAAACUAUCUUCCCUUCCUCCUGCUUCGGGGGGUCGGCCACCUGGAAAAUAGAACAGAUUGUCAAACACGCUCAACAGACUCACCCUGAUCACAAGACCGGACCUCCGAACCGACUAUUCGUACCUGAUUCCGCACGCUCUCAUGUCCUUCAGUGGGCCCACAACUCCAAGCUCACCUGUCAUCCCGGUAUCACCUGCACCAUCCAUUUCAUCCAACAACAUUUCUGGUGGCCCAGCCUGAUCAAAGACCCCCAGGAAUUCGUCCAAGCCUGUUCCAGAGGGAAGGCUUCUCACCUGCCUCCAGUUGGUCUGCUGCGCCCCUUACCCAUUCCAAGACGCCCUUUGUCGCACAUCGCUUUGGACUUCGUUACCGGCCUACCCCCUUCUGAAGGAGUUCUGUAAAGCGGUGGGCGGAGCAGCCAGCUUGUCUUCCGGGUACCACCCUCAGACCAACGGCCAGACGGAGCGGGCGAAUCAGUCUCUGGAAUCACCUCUUCGCUGCGGUGCCGCACGCAACACCAUCUCCUGGAGCUCAUUCCUCUCUUGGAUUGAGUACGCCCACAACUCUUUCACCAGCUCCGUCACCGGUAUGUCUCCAUUCAUGGCCUGCUAUGGUUUCCAACCUCUGUUAUUUAAGGAACAGAAGCUUGUGGUGGCAGUCACCACGGUAAGGGAUCACCUUAAAAGGCUCCAGUCCGUGUGGAAGGAUGGCAGGGCGGUCUUGGUCCGGUCCUCAGAGAAGAAUAAACGGCUCAAGGACCUUUGUCGUUCCCCUACGUACGAGUAAAAGUGCUCCAUCCGUGUUCCCCGCCAUGCUGACCUCCACCGCCACGCCAUCCACCUACUCACGCCACCGCCUGCCGCACGUUCCCCGCCUCGACGACAUGCCAAACCCCCUAAGGAUCCAUCCUCAUAUCCGCUUCAAUAAA